CCCAAGACUCAAGGAUGCUCAGUGAAGCAAAUGGGAAUUCAAGUUAACUGAUGAUGCAAUUAGCAGGAGGCAGGCAGGCAAAGGAUUGUACUUCAGCAGGAGAUACGGCUCCCACUACCUUCCAGGGGAUGUUGAAAUAAUCUAGCAGAAAUAAAUACCGCCUCCUGACUUCUGUUUGGUGUUAUUUCAUACAGGUGAUGAAAGAAGACAGAUAGGAGAUAAGAGAGAAAGAAAGAAGAGAAAAGAAGGCAGAGAAUGAGAUUGAGAUAAAGAAUGAUUGCCAAAGCAAGCAAUCAAGAACUUGCGAGCUGCAAGUACUGAAGUAUUGUUCACGUCAGGGCAUUCUGCACUGUGACCUAGUCUUACAUAGAUGACUGCAGGGACAGUCAGGGAGUUUAGUCAUUCCGUCAAGAGAGAAAAGAUCUGGGGUCAUUUGCUGGUGAAUGCCCCAUCUAGGGUUGAUGAAAAGAAAUAACUGGAGCGUACAAGAUUGAAUCAGAAAUUCUUGAGUCGAAUUUCAUCAUUGUACCACUGCAAUCCAACAAUUUUAUGGUCCAUCCACUAUCUGUCCAUAAAUCCAGCAAACUCUUCAGGAUGAACAAUUAGACAACAAUCUGUGCCUUCCCCACUCCAUCUGAAUGCUGUGGAAGAUGGUGGAACCUCACUGGGAUCACAUCUGUCAAGUUUACGGGGUGAAGACAAGCACUCAGCAGGCUUGUGUGCUACCUUGUGAGUGCACACAGGUGCACAUCACUGCCAAACAAAGUCUAUGUCCUUGGAAAACUAUCUGCCUUGUCCCCUGGAUGCCAAACAUCAUUGUCUGUUUCAAAGAAGUGAACACCGCAAAAUACACUUUAUGACAAAAUUUAAAAUAAAUGUACAUUUUUGCCCUUGAAUAUUUACACUAGUUAGAAUGUCUCUUAGUUGCACACACUCUCACAUACAAUUUUAGCAUUUUUCAUAUAAUAUGUCUAAAUGAUCACUUGAAAAAUAAUUUACAUCAUAAGCAUUAAUACUUAUUC
rnacentral:lncRNA from 1 species